AGGGGCCGAAUGGAAGGCCUGGUACAGGGAAAACAACCGAUGGGCCAGUAGUCGGCCCAGGCCAGUAGUACUUUGUAUUUCUGGAGUGUAGUAUAUCAGCCGCCGGAGGAGAGGCCGGGAGCACCGGAGGAGAGGGAGGGCGGCGGCCGGCGGGCCGGCGCUGUAGUAGGCGGAGUGCGUCUGCCUCCUCACCCUUUCCGCUCGUCGGCACUCCGCACUCGGCGUGUGCACGGGUCGGGGCAUCUGCCGGCUCUCGCGUGGACGCAUGGCCGCAAGGUGUUCGACGUAAUGCUCCCGGCUUCGGAUGGUGGCUCACUGGACCCGAGCGAGAGACUUUUCUCGACGAGAUGAUCCGGAAAACUGGACGCCCAGGCGUCAUGUAACCCGAGCGACCUCUUCACAAUCCUUGUACACCUGGAAUCAGGUGAGACCGUGAGAGCACUAUGUCCCCAGUCGUCAUUGUCGUCACAGUUAUACGGCUUUAAAAAAGAUAUAUUGGUUAUCAUUUCUGUUCUACUCCCUUCGUUCUAAAAUAGAUGACCCAACUUUGUACAAACUUUGCACUAAAGCUAGUACAAAGUUGAGUCAUCUAUUUUGAAACGGAGGGAGUAGUUGUUAGUGUGUGCAUUAUUCAUGUCAUGUUCAGUUAUCUUGUGACUUGGUCUUUGCCUGUACGUACCGCAUUACUCACGAUCGUGCACACGAUCGACUCUUUUAACUGCUGGAUGCAUCUUUGUACCA